GAUGAAGAACGCAGCGAAAUGCUAUACUUGGUGUGAAUUGCAGAAUCCCGUGAACCAUCGAGUCUUUGAACGCAAGUUGCGCCCGAAGCCAUUAGGCCGAGGGCACGCCUGCCUGGGCGUCACACGUCGUUGCCCCCCCAUCUACUCCUUCGGGAUUGCGGGGGGCGGAUGAUGGCCUCUCGUGCGCCUCGUCGCGCGGUUGGCCUAAAUGCCAAGUCCUCGGCGACGCACGCCACGACAAUCGGUGGUUGCGAAACCUCGGUUGCCUGUCGUGUGCGGUCGUCGCGCAUCGAGGGCUCGAAAAAAUUGCCGGGCUUCGGCUCGACUUUCAACGCGACCCCAGGUCAGGCGGGGUUACCCGCUGAAUUUAAGCAUAUCAAUAAGCGGAGGA
rnacentral:misc_RNA from 1 species